GACGAACGCUGGCGGCGUGCCUAACACAUGCAAGUCGAACGAGGUCCAUCCUUCGGGAGAAGACCUAGUGGCGAACGGGUGAGUAACACGUGAAGAACCUGCCCCGAAGACCGGGAUAACCCUCCGAAAGGAGAGCUAAUACCGGAUACCCCACCGAACCGCAUGGUUUGGUGAGGAAAUGGAUUCCGCUUCGGGAGGGGCUUCGCGGCCUAUCAGCUAGUUGGUGGGGUAACGGGCCACCAAGGCAUCGACGGGUAGCUGGUCUGAGAGGACGAUCAGCCACACUGGGACGUGAGACACGGCCCAGACUCCUACGGGAGGCAGCAGUGGGGAAGUCUUGCGCAAUGGGCGAAAGCCUGACGCAGCAACGCCGCGUGGGGGAGU
rnacentral:rRNA from 1 species